rnacentral:lncRNA from 1 species
GCUGAUGACUUUCCCAUACAAGUUACUUUGAAGAAGCUCCGGGAUGCAGAGUUCUUUCAAGAAAUUUGCUCCUGGAUUUCAGUUAGUUGUAAAAGGAGGUCUGUUAUUGCAUUAACUGUCUCCUUUUGUUGUCUAAGAUGCUGUGUUCCUCUUGUUGGUUUCUACAAACUAGAUAUAGAUGUUUUGGGAAUUCAGAGAUGGUUUUUCUUCCAUUAUAAGUAUUCUCUACCCUUGUGUUUUCCUGGUAAUGCAUUUUCUCUAUACAAUUAUAAAUAUUGAGUCUGUUAGGUUAUAUUGUAUUUCUGUUCUCAGUAAUU